rnacentral:rRNA from 1 species
GACGAACGCUGGCGGCGUGCUUAACACAUGCAAGUCGAACGGAAAGGCCCUGCUUUUGUGGGGUGCUCGAGUGGCGAACGGGUGAGUAACACGUGAGUAACCUGCCCUUGACUUUGGGAUAACUUCAGGAAACUGGGGCUAAUACCGGAUAGGAGCUCCUGCUGCAUGGUGGGGGUUGGAAAGUUUCGGCGGUUGGGGAUGGACUCGCGGCUUAUCAGCUUGUUGGUGGGGUAGUGGCUUACCAAGGCUUUGACGGGUAGCCGGCCUGAGAGGGUGACCGGCCACAUUGGGACUGAGAUACGGCCCAGACUCCUACGGGAGGCAGUAGUGGGGAAUAUUGCACAAUGGGCGGAAGCCUGAUGCAGCAACGCCGCGUGCGGGAUAACGGCCUUCGGGUUGUAAACCGCUUUCGCCUGUGACGAAGCGUGAGUGACGGUAAUGGGUAAAGAAGCACCGGCUAACUACGUG